AAACAAGCUUACUGCUGAAAAAAAAUAUUAUCGAUACCAACUGCAUAAGUGAAAGAGUUGAGCUUUUUAUAAAAAUACAAGCAAUCAAAUAUUCUUUUAUGUACAUAUAUCAAAAGUACAGGUCGCAAAAACAGUAAACCUUAAAAAACACAACUUUAUUUAUUUCCUGCACUUAAUAUUUAUUGGAAGCCUAUAUAGAGUGUUAAAACAAAGUUUUCGGAUACUAAAUUCGUCUUAGUAUAUGUAAAAAUCUUUCGCGAGUAUGUGCUUUUUUCGUAUGCUUAAAUAAAUAGAUUGUAUCAUUAUAUUCCAACUUUAAGAGUAAUCGUUGUAAAUGAAUUAACGCAAUAUGACGCGUGGCAAUAAUGCCACUUACUCGGAUAAUUCCUCAAUUAAAAUCAAGCCAUUCAUUAUUUUGAUCUUGAAUUUUAACAUAUGCCUUCACCAAAUUAAUGCAUCUUCAUUUUUAAAUCUAAACGAUUUAACCAGUUCUGAUAGACCUUUUUUUGAUGAUAUAAGCCCAAGGAACGUGUCUGCUGUCGUUGAUGAAAUUGCAAUUUUGAGAUGUCGUGUUAAAAAUAAAGGAAAUCGCACGGUAUCAUGGAUGCGCAAGCGCGACCUUCACAUUCUUACAACAAAUAUAUAUACGUACACUGGCGAUCAACGAUUUUCUGUAUUACAUCCGCCUAGCAGUGAAGAUUGGGACUUAAAGAUUGAUUAUGCUCAGCCCCGUGAUAGCGGAGUAUAUGAAUGUCAAGUGAAUACCGAGCCAAAAAUAAAUUUACCAAUUGUUUUGGAAAUAACAGCUGAUAGUGACUUUCGAGAUUUAAAAACGGAAAAGCGGAUUUACGAUUCAAAAGCUGCUAGAGCGAAAAUUCUUGGAUCUACUGAAAUUCAUGUUAAACGUGAUAGCACAAUUGCCCUGGCUUGCUCAGUGAAUACGCAUGCAUCAUCAGUAAUUUGGUAUCAUGGCUCAUCAAUAAUCGAUUUUGAUUCACUUCGCGGUGGAAUAAGUUUAGAAACCGAAAAAACUGAUAUAGGAACCACCAGUCGAUUGAUGCUAACACGGGCGUCAUUACGGGACUCUGGAAACUAUACUUGCGUUCCAAAUGGAGCCAUACCAGCCUCCGUUAGGGUUCAUGUAUUAACCGGUGAGCAGCCUGCAGCAAUGCAAACUAGUGCUGCCAUUGGCAAUAGGGCUUACACUGCAAUGAUAACUAUCAUAUCAGUAAAAGUAUUGUUAUAUAUUUCAAGUCUUGAAGAGCAUAUGUAUCGAAGAGAGAGAUGACUAACUAAUACAAUUUCCAUAAUAUUACUUGAUUAGCCUUAAGCAAAGCACUAACACGAAAUAUUUUGGAUCUUGUUCGUUUUGUGGUUCGAAGAGUUCAUAGAGAAAAAUGGUACAUUGUCUUCGAGAAAAUGAUUGUAACUGGCAGAAGGAAGCAUUUUCGAGCAAAGAAAGUAUAUGACGAGGAUUCAUUCUCCGACUCUUCCGUCGGACUUUCGGCGAAAUGUUUUUUGGCGCGUGGCAUGAAUUUCACAACCAGACUGACUCUAUAACUCAUGGUGGCUCCAUUUCAAUUCCUUCUUACCCUUUAAUACAUACAUUCACAGUGUGGUGAGUUAUGACGAACACUAUCUGUCUCACUCAUUCCCACGGCCAAACUACGUUGACAGAAUUAUGUAUCUGCCUCGCACGAAAGGAUGGAAAAACAGUAGGAAAUAAAUCAAAUCACAGCGUGUUCCAAAGGACCCAUUGUAACACACGCAAUAUUCUAUACAAAAAUUAAAUGUAAUUCCUAUAGUCAUAUGAAAUAAAUAACUAUAAUAAAUAUUGA